CUGCAGUCAAUGGAAACAGUAAGAAAAAGUGAGGUUUAUAGAAAUAUGAAUAAUAAGCACGGAUGAUGAUAAGAAACAUUUUAAUUUCGGUUUCUCGUUUUUACUUUUAAGAUAAUUAAAAAGAAAGGAAAUAUCUGCUUUGUUGUGAUCAAAUAUUAUGUCAAAGUAUAACCAGUUAUCCAAACAGUUGGAUCAGUUAAAUGUGUUAAAUAGUGAGCUUACAAACCUGAAAAAAACUGCGAGAGUUUAUACACAACAGCCUAAUAGUCAUAUCUUUUUUCUUGAUGAUUUAAACAAUGUGAAAUGUAAAACUAAAGAAAACAUUAAAGAAACUGAAGAAAAAUUGAAGAAAUGUCAAAAAUAAGAAAUGUUUUUCAAAUUAGAAGAAUUUACAAUAUUGUGUGUUCAUAUCCUUAUCAUAGAACUUACUGAUUCAAAUAUGCCAAAAUAUUAUAAAUUAUCCA
rnacentral:lncRNA from 1 species